CAUAGUGAAAAAAAAAAAACGAUUUGUGAAGAUAUUGGAAUUUGAAACUAUUUUACCGAGUUAAAAAUCUAUCAUAAAUGUCUAAAAUAUUUACACCCACAAAUCAGAUUCGCCUU